rnacentral:rRNA from 1 species
CACGCCGUAAACGAUGAUAGCUCGCUCUUGGUUCGCAAGGAUCAGGGGCUUAGCGAAAGCGUUAAGCUAUCCACCUGGGGAGUACGCCGGCAACGGUGAAACUCAAAGGAAUUGACGGGGGCCCGCACAAGCGGAGGAACAUGUGGUUUAAUUCGAUGAUACGCGAGGAACCUUACCCAGGCUCGAACGCCGAACGAAUACGGGGGAAACGUUCGUAGCCAGCAAUGGCGGUCGGCGAGGUGCUGCAUGGUUGUCGUCAGCUCGUGCCGUGAGGUGUCGGCUUAAGUGCCAUAACGAGCGCAACCCCUAUCGGUAGUUGCCAGCGGGUUAAGCCGGGAACUCUACCGAGACUGCCAGCGCAAGCUGC